UACGUAGGGUGCGAGCGUUAAUCGGAAUUACUGGGCGUAAAGCGUGCGCAGGCGGUUCGCCAAGUCAGGUGUGAAAUCCCCGGGCUUAACCUGGGAAUUGCGCUUGAAACUAGCGGGCUUGAGUGUGGCAGAGGGGGGGUGGGAAUUCCACGUGUAGCAGUGAAAUGCGUAGAGAUGUGGAGGAACACCGAUGGCGAAGGCAGCCCCCCUGGGUCAACACUGACGCUCAUGCACGAAAGCGUGGGGAGCAAACAGG
rnacentral:rRNA from 1 species